rnacentral:tRNA from 1 species
GAUCCGUUAGCUCAGUCGGUAGAGCACUUGACUUUUAAUCAAGGGGUCCUGGGUUCGAAUCCCAGACGGGUCACCA